rnacentral:rRNA from 1 species
UGCGAGCGUUAAUCGGAAUUACUGGGCGUAAAGCGCAUGCAGGCGGCCUGUUAAGUCAGAUGUGAAAGACCCGGGGCGUUAAACCUCGGAAAUUGCAUUUGUAAACUGGCAGGCUAGAGUCUUGUAGAGGGGGGUAGGAAUUUCAGGUGUAGCGGUGAAAUAGCGUAGAGAUCUGAAGGAAUACCAGUGGCGAAAGCGGCCCCCUCGGACAAAGACUGACGCUCAGAUGCGAAAGCGUGGGGAGCAAACAGGAUUAGAUACCCCUGGUAG